rnacentral:antisense_RNA from 1 species
UCCCCAUUUACCAACCCAAGCAAGUAAGCCCACCUGAGCCACAGAACCUUCUCCCUCCCUACAAAAGGCUCAGGAGUAGGAGGCACCAGGAUGUUUUACUCUCUGGAAAAGAAAGGUAAAUUAAAGAAUUUGAACUUGGGACUCUAGGCAUAGCUAAAGGUAGGGGAGGAAAUGUACUGGAAACAGGAAUACUAAAUCAAAGUCUACAAUGACUGGUGAGACAGCUCCCCAACAUCUCGUUCCACUUGGCUCCUAGAACACAGGCAGCCUGGCUUUUACUCCCAUCCAAAAACACUGGAGCAUUCCUUCCUGGGGAAUGUUUGAAGAGAAAAGAUCUACAAAUAUGAACACUGGGGAGGGAGGCUUUCCCCUGUUGAAACUGCCACCCAGGCAGUAACACCUGUCAAAAUCUCCCCAAGCACCCAGAGUGCACCAGCUUUUAGUGCCUCAGACUUAAAUAAGAGUCAAGAAUCACCAGACACUUCAGAAAAGCCUUCUCCAACAUCCUAGGCAUCCCUUUCACCCCUCUCUCACCCCUCUCCUCAAAAAGGAGAUGAUAUGCUGGGCUCAGUGGCUCAAGCCUAUAAUCCCAGCACUUUGGAAGGCCAAGGUGGGUGGAUCACUUGAGGUCAGGAGUUCGAAACCAGCCUGACUAACAUGGUAAAACCCCAUCUCGACGAAAAAUACAAAAAAAAAAUUUAGCCAGUCGUGGUGGCACAUGCCUGUAAUCCCAGCUACUCAGGAGGAGGAGGCAGGAGAAUCCCUUGAACCCAGGAGGCAGAGAUUGCAGUGAGCCAAAAUCGUGGCACUGCACUCCAGCCUGGGUGACAGAGUGAGACUGUCUUAAAAAAAAAAAAAAGAAAAAAAAAGAGAUGAUAAAUAAAAUCUUAACUUCCUAC